UUCGCUAGUGUUAUUUAACCAUGUUAUCUAAAAACUUUAUCCUCCAUAGUCCAAUUUUGUAUUUGUAUUUCCACUUGUUUUCUUUAAUGUUUUAAACUAAUGUUCUUCUUGACAGCAGAGAAUUAUUCUCAUUAUGAUUUGGUCAUGGGAAUACUUUCAUCGCGCGGCAACUUUGAUUUAAGGCAAAGUUUACGUGGAUCAUGGGUUGGCUAUGCAAGACGACAUUCAUCGCUCAAUAAAAGGCUAAACUCGAAUAUUCACAAGAAAUAACGGUUACGGUACACUUGCCCAAGAUAUCACCAUCUUACAGGAAAUGGAAAGUCAUAAUUUAAAAAACACGUCCAAAUUGUGGUGGGGAAGCUUUCGUACUGAUUGGUUGAUCGAGAGGCAGGAAAAUGAGCCGAGCCUGAAUAUCCGGGCGUGACUUAUCCGACAUUUGCCUGAAGUGCGGGCAGCAUUAUUUCUUCGGAUAUUGUUCACUGGCUGGCAAAAAACGAGAAAUCUCUGAAACGUUAUCAGGGGGAGGAUGUCUCUAUGGGUAUUUGGUUAUCAGCUAUUCCUCCUGAAAUUUAUAAUGCAAGAUCUCCUGUUCUUCCCUGUAAGUUAUUGACAGUUGUUCAACAAGAUCCUUUAUGGUGAUCGUACUCCAACAAUCUUUUUUCAACAUCACGAGGAUUCAAUAGAAACGUUUGACAUGACCGUUAAAAUUUCUUCAUCGGAAACGCUACUACCGUUUGGUAGAGCAAUAAAACGAUC